GGCACCAUAGCUCAGUGGCUAGAGCACUGAUCUCGUAAACCAAGUGUUGUGAGUUCGAACCUCAUUGGUGGCU
rnacentral:tRNA from 1 species